GUUGCUUGACGCUCCAUUAUCAAACAGCGUCUCUCGUUGGUUACAGCCACAACGAAUGACAGCUGCUAAGUUUUUCUAUCCAUAGCCCAGUCUUGCACCUCGUCUUUUAGCUUCACAUCAACUCUCCCUCAGCAGCCGCCUUGCCUCACACGGAAAUCACCAAGCCUCCCGUUCAUUGCAAAAUAGCUAGCAAAUCACCAUCACCCAGCCACCACUUGCAAGAGGUUUUACACCUCUGUUUUGAUGAUAAGAAACAGAGCAGCUUGUUCUCCUAGUUUCAGAUAUCAUGUAGCCGCCACCAGCAACUGUAUUGUGGUUCAACAAUGCCAUCUAGCCACUAUGUCUUUUCCCCUCGAUGGUGUUUCUCAGUCUUUGAGCCGCAACACCCACCGUCAUUUCAACUAGCUAGGUAUGAGUGCUCAGCCGCAAGGUGGUUUCUCUGUUUUGAUAAUGAUGUAGAGUCUGAGGAUGCGGCUCCACUAGGGGAGUGACAUGUGGUCACUUUGGCUCGUGGGUUAUGUAAAUAUUGAUCUUUACUUUACUUUCACUGGAUAACUCUAUAAUAUUUUGAAAUACUUUUAUUUUAGUUUGUGUGUAUUUAAGUUUAUGGUACUUAGUUGGCUUACUAUUAAUCACCCGUUGCGAUCUUAUUUUACA